ensembl:lncRNA
CUGACACCGUACGUCCCAUCAGUCCAACCAAGGUGUUUGAAUUUUCAUCCAUCCUCUGGAUGUUCUGGAGCAUAGCAGUGGUCAGGUCUUGGUCUCUGGAUGUUCUGGAGCAUGGCAGUGGUCAGGUCUUGGUCUCUGGAUGUUCUGGAGCAUGGCAGAGGUCAGGUCUUGGUCUCUGGAUGUUCUGGAGCAUGGCAGAGGUCAGGUCUUGGUGUCUCCUCAACUGUUCCUCUGACCUCUCCAGAUACUGCAGCAGAUCCACAGUAGCAUCCCGCUUCCUUUUUCCUGCAUAAAAGCACCCAAAAAGUCUAAACAGAUCUUACUUGAUUUGGUCUGUUG